rnacentral:rRNA from 1 species
AUGCAACCUACCUUCAACAGGGGGAUAAUCCGAAGAAAUUUGGUCUAAUACCCCAUAAUAUUCCGACAGGCAUCUGUCGGAGUUGAAAGCUUCGGUGGUUGGAGAUGGGCAUGCGUUGUAUUAGCUAGAUGGUGAGGUAACGGCUCACCAUGGCGAUGAUACAUAGGGGGACUGAGAGGUUUUCCCCCCACACUGGUACUGAGACACGGACCAGACUCCUACGGGAGGCAGCAGUGAGGAAUAUUGGUCAAUGGACGGAAGUCUGAACCAGCCAUGCCGCGUGCAGGAUGAAUGUGCUAUGCAUUGUAAACUGCUUUUGUACGAGGGUAAACACAGAUACGCGUAUCUGCUUGAAAGUAUCGUACGAAUAAGGAUCGGCUAACUACGUGCCAGC